GGCGGCGUCGAGGUCGACGAGCCCCUGCAGCAGCGGGCAGCACUGGUCGUUCCCCAGGCCGGGGAUGUUGAGCUUCAGUAGGUUCAGCACGUUCGCGCACACCUGCAGCUUGAGCGCGUUGAUCGGGCAGGAUCCACCGCCGGACGGCGUCGGCACGACCGGCGGGGUGGGGACCACCGGCGGGGUAGGGCAGUACGGCGUGCAGCCGUGAACGGCCGCCGCGAAGGCGAGGACGGACAGGGCGAGAAAGAGGGCAAGCUUGGAUGGCGCCAU
rnacentral:lncRNA from 1 species